rnacentral:rRNA from 1 species
UACGAAGGGAGCUAGCGUUGUUCGGAAUGACUGGGCGUAAAGGGUGCGUAGGCGGUUAAAUACGUCUGGUGUGAAAGUCCUGGGCUUAACCUGGGGAUUGCACUGGAUACGGUUUAGCUUGAGCGCGAGAGAGGAAAGUGGAAUUGCGCGUGUAGAGGUGAAAUUCGUAGAUAUGCGCAAGAACACCGGUGGCGAAGGCGGCUUUCUGGCUCGCAACUGACGCUGAGGCACGAAAGCGUGGGGAGCAAACAGG